GAUCUUGCACCUGCUGUUCACUCCCCAGAUGUCUGCAAUGGCUGGGACCAUAGGCCAGGUCAAAGUCAGGAGCCAAGACCAGGAGCUUCUUCCAGGUCUCCCACGUGGGUGCAGGGGCCCAGACACUUGUGCUUUUCCCAGACUGUUAGCAGGGAGUUGGAUAGGAAGUGGAGCAGCUGGCACCCCAACUAGUGCCCAUGUGGGAUGCCAGCAUCAAAGGUGGCAGCUUCCCCCACCACGCCACAAUGCCGGCCCUGGACUGGAGUUUUACAGACUGACGUGUCAGUCACUGAUCAGCAUGUCGAGUCUUACAUUUAUCAUAGUUAUUUAUGUACUUGCACGGAUUGCUGUCAUCCUAAUAAGUUUCAUCUGUCGCCUCACUUUAAUCAUUUGAGUUGCUAUCUAUAUAUUUUUCUUACCAAGAUAAGAUCUAUCCAUUAAUUUCUUUUCCUUGUCUUCUUAUUACUUUUGCAGUUUCUUUGGUUGGUUGAUUUCCUAAAGUUUUUGAGUUGGAUGCUCAGCACAUUGCUGUUUUCAGCUUUUACUCUUUUCUAGUAUAAGUAUAGAGACAUAGAUUUAAAAAUUGUAAUUUUUAGGUACAGUUAACCUUCUUUAACCAGGGGUUCUGGACCCAUGGAUUCAAACCAACUGUGGAUUCAAAGUACUUGAAAAAAACAUCUGAACCUGUACAGGCUUUUGUUCCUUGUCAUUAUUCCUUAACCAGUACAGUAUAACAACUAUUACAUAGCAUUUACACUGUAGUAGGUUUACAUGUAACCCACACAUACUCUCUUUUAAAGUCAUUUCCAGGUUACGCAUAAUACCUAAUACAAGGAGGACCCAUAGAUGUUGGUAUCCACAAGGGGGUCCUAAAAGCAUUCAUGCAUGGAUUCUGGUGGGACAAGUGUAAUUAUUCUGAAUUUUAUCCAUGUUGAUCCCUGUAUCAAAAGUUCAUUCUUUAUUGUUGAGCGGUAUCCCAUUGUAUAGAUAUAUGACAAUUUGCUUAUCCAUUUGAAUUAUUGCUAACUUGAGGUUAUUACAAAUAAAGCUGGUUUGAACUUUCAUGUCCAAGUUUUUGAAUGAAAAUCUGCUUUUAUUUCUCUUAAAUCUUGACACUAAGAAACAGCCGGUGGUCCCGCGGGGCAGGCGGGGUCGCCGGGGCUCGAGGGCUUGGGGUAGAUGCGCUCUCCGGUUCUCACAGCCACCCGGCUUUUACGUCCGCUGAGGAAGGGAGCCGGGCUUUUACGUCCGCUGAGGAAGGGAGCCGGGCGCCCCGCGUGGGCAGGGGGUCGCGGCGCUCGCCCCGCAGCCGCCCACGCAGCGCUGGGUGGGGACGCGUCCGGAGCCUGGCGCCCGCCCCCGCCCAGGGGUCGCCACGGCCUGCUGAACGCAGCCCCUGGACGCAGCCAGGCAUCCUCCCUGCCGAGCCGGUGCCCCCUCCCCGCCGCCCAGUGUCCCCGCUGUGCCUGCGGGAAGCCAUUCGCCCAGCACACAGAGAAGGGCGCGAUGGCAGCCGAGCUGCUCUGCUCCACACUGGCCGGGUUGGCGCAGCCGGACCGCGGCCCGAGGAGCUGGGGCGCCCGGGACGUGGCCGGGCGCGCGCCGUCGGCCUGCGCGAGGGUCUCCAGACUCGGCUGCUCCCGGCUACCUGCUGGGCUGCCGGCGGCUGUUGCACAAGCCCGUGGCGCUGCGGUGCGGGCUCACGGUCUGCGAGCGCUGCGUGGAGCCGGCCGCGGCGCGUCCCCGUGGUGCUGAGCGGCCAGGUGCCGGCUGCGCAGGCUGACGGGCCAGGCGCGGAAUCUGCAGCGCCGGCCGCAGCCCGAGGCCGCGCUGCGCAGGUGCGCCCCGGCCCUGGACCUGGCUCCUGAUGAUUGUUCAUUACUGCUACUGUAAGCAGAAUUACGCGUAACCAUGAAGAGCUAUGAGAACACUCUCCAGGAUGCCACACAGUUUGUCACAAUGAACCUCUCCUGACUGAGGUGCUUCAGUAAAUUAACUCCUCUAUGCUGACUUGCUGGAAACUUCCUGGAGAAAUCUAUGGCGAGGCUGAUUUCACAGUAACUUGCAAGGAGGUCAGCUUUUAGGCUUUCACGGAUAUUUGGUCAAUCAGCGAAGAAGAGACGGAUCCAGAGAAGGGAAGCGUCAAGGAGGGAGACAAGGAGCUGCCAUUUGGGACAAGUGCCCUUCUAAAGGACAGGAGAAGGAGCUAGCGGGCAAGAUCCGCGAGUCCAUGUAAACAUGGUACGCCUGGAGGAACUAGUGGCUGUUACCGCCACCACUUACAGGAGCUCAGAGGCAAUGGGUGUGCCUCCUGCAAACACAUUGUGACCAGGAUGCUUGAAUCUUGUUGAGAGAAGCCAUGUUCUAGGGUUGCUGAAGCAGAAGACAGACUUGGGGUCUCACAUGAUGUCACGGGGGCUCCCCUAGUACUCCUUGGCCACCUCCCUCUGAGGGACUCUGGGUUAUGUGAGGGAAAAACAAUUCCUUGCAUUCAGGAUGCAUUAGCAGCCAUGUGCAUGUCCUCACUGAUUCACAGCUGAUAGCAAGGGGUAGCUUUAAGGUGGGGGGACCUCACUCAUUUAUGGGCCUGGCUUAGAUCACCCCUACCGACCCUCCAGCCUCUCACAGCGCAGACCCCAUCUCCACUUCCUGAGCCUGUGGUUAGGCCAAGGCAGAGCUCCUGUGGGCUCAUCUGCCUCUCAACUUUCCUCUAACACGAAGCAGCUGGUGGGGACCGGGCUGGGGGCCCAAAGGAAGAAGUAGACCUUUGAGUCGCCGCACCUCCCACUGUUGCCUGAAGGGGGCGUGCUCAGUCCACUUUGUGCGCUCAAGGGCCCAGCUGCAAACCAUCAGGCUGCUUAGCAAAACUUGACAGCCACCUGCUGGUUGCUUAUCGAAUAGAGCCAGUUAAGCCCCUAGUCAGUGGCUGCACCAGGCCAUGGCCACGUGGGGUCGCUACACCCUCAGGAAUGAAGAGACAAUGGCGUCUCUUCUGCAAAGCUGCCCUGCGGGGAGCCAGCUCAAGCCCCUCCCUGCAGUCAGGAGGGCAGGGUCCUGUGGUCUUUGCUCCGGAAACGAGUCUUCGGAAAUGCCCGGGACUUCAGAUGUCAUAGAAUAUGGAAUUUAAAAAGGUAAGUUUCUUCGGUGCAAAAAUUUUUGAAAUCCAUGCAUAGGAGGAUUUUUUUUUUUUUUUUUUUGGACAGGCAGAGUGGACAGUGAGAGAGAAAGGUCUUCCUUUUUGCCAUUGAUUCACCCUCCAAUGGCCGCCGCGGCCGGUGCACCGCGCUGAUCCGAUGGCAGGAGCCAGGUGCUUCUCCUGGUCUCCCAUGGGGUGCAGGGCCCAAGCACUUGGGCCAUCCUCCACUGCACUCCCGGGCCACAGCAGAGAGCUGGCCUGGAAGAGGGGCAACCGGGACAGAAUCCGGCGCCCCGACUGGGACUAGAACCCGGUGUGCCGGUGCUGCAAGGCGGAGGAUUAGCCUAGUGAGCCGCGGCGCCGACCCGCAUAGGAGGAUCUUAAAAAACUUUGUGGAUCGUGGAGUCUCCUUGGACCCUCGAGGUCUGUGUCAGCCCAGAAGCAGAGGGAACAGGGCCUCUCAUGUUCCCUGGGCCAGCCCCAGAUGGAUAAAGUGGGCACACCUCUUGUGCACCACACCAGGUCUGUGAGUGUUGACCAUGGCCAGCCUUCAGGAGGGCUUCCUACUGGGACGUGUGUACCUGCCACAGUGGUGCAAAGUAGGCUCACAGACAGAACCAAGAGGUGGCGCAGAGGGGAGGGCACUUGUGCUGCACAGGGCACGCCUUGACGGCCCGGCCAUGACCCACGCCGUGGGCAGAUACCCCAGGUGCACUCCAUCUGCCAUUUUAUUCUAUCCUGCCAGGCAGAGACGGUAUGAAAACAGCGGUGUCAGGGCCGGCACUGUGGCAUAGCAGGUGAAGCGAUUGCUCUCUAAUGCCGGCAUUCCACAUGCGUGUCGCUUGAGUCCCGGCUGCUCCACUUCCCAUCCAGCUCCCUGCUAAUUCGUCUGGGAAGGCAGCAGAGGAUAGCCCAAGUACAUGGGCCCCUACCACCCUCGGAGACCUGGAUGAAGCUCCUGGCUUCAGCCUGGCCCAGCCCUGGCUGUUGCAGCUGUUGGGGAGUGAGUCAGUAGAUGGAAGAUCUCUGUGUCUCCCCCACUCUCUCUGUAACUCUUACUUGGAAAUGAGAAUCUUUAGAAAAAAAAUCAAUAAGGCAAUCAGCUCUGAUGUGGUUCCCCUCUCCACACCACCACAGCUGUGACCUGCUAACACAGGGACAGGCAUCCAGCCUUGGGCAUAGCCAAGGAGCCAGGAACAAACUCCCAUCCACGCACGCUGGGUCCUUUCAAGAUGCUCUGUCCAUCCCAAUUCAAGUUGUGCUGCCUUUUUUUUUUUUUUUAAAGAUUUGUUUAUUUAUUUGAAAGGCAGAGUUACAGAGAGGCAGAGAGAGAGAGACAGAGAGAGAGAGAUCUUCCAUCUGCUGGUUCACUCCCCAGUUGGCCACAACAGCCAGAGCUGAGCCUAUCCAGAGCCAGGGGCUUCUUCCUGGUCUCCUUUGUGGGUGCAGGGGCCCAAGGACUUGGGCCAUCUUCUACUGCUUUCCCAGGCCAUGGCAGAGAGCUGGAUUGGGAGUGGAGCAGCCGGGAAUCGAACCAGAGGCCAUAUGGGAUGCCGGCACUGCAGGUGGCGGCUUUACCUGCUAAGCUACAGCAUGGUCCCCAUGUUGUGCGUCUGAUGUCCAUAUUUUGUCCCGUGCUCUUGGAAGUGGAGCACAGCACCACCCCGAGUUAGGUGGUUGACUUUUCAUUUCAUUGGGGCAGCUGACGAAAUGACCCAUGAUCCACUCCAAAGCAGAGUCCUUGUGUGCACAUCACAGGGAAGUGCGGCUGUGUAUGCCCAGCGCGCUCUGGUUUAUAGGAGUCUGGCCAGAUACCCCCUUCAAGAUGGCUGGGUGUGCGCAGGUGCAGGUGGGAGUGACCAAGCCUUGCCCGUCGCAGGUGUUCAGGGCGCCUGAGCCCAAUCACAGCUUCCACGGGAAGUGUUCCCAGCACAGCUACUCAAUGCUGCAGCAGCUUGUGCAAACCAUGAAUGAAGUGAAAAUACGUCCCAGGGCUGCCAAGUGUCCUUGCAACUUUCCCAGAUGCCGGGGUGCUUAGUGCAGAGUAAAUGGGAAAACAUUAACUUAGUUAUAUUUAAUAAAUAUAAAGUAUAGUGUAUGUAUCACACCAAUAGAUACUAUAUAUAAAAUCAUACAGCAUUUGAUACUCUAUAUCAUAGUAUGUUAUGUAAUAUAUAAGACAACAUAUGUGUUUUGUGUCUGUACACCUGGAGGCACUUCAAGAAGUUCUUGGGGCCGGCGCCGUGGCUCAAUAGGCUAAUCCUCCACCUUGCGGCGCCGGCACACCGGGUUCUAGUCCCGGUUGGGGCGCCGGAUUCUGUCCCGGUCGCCCCUCUUCCAGGCCAGCUCUCUGCUAUGGCCAGGGAGUGCAGUGGAGGAUGGCCCAGGUGCUUGGGCCCUGCACCCCAUGGGAGACCAGGAAAAGCACCUGGCUCCUGGCUCCUGCCAGGAUCAGCGCGGUGCGCCGGCUGCAGCGGCGGCCAUUGGAGGGUGAACCAACGGCAAAAGGAAGACCUUUCUCUCUGUCUCUCUCUCACUGUCCACUCUGCCUGUCAAAAAAAAAAAAAAAAAAAAAAAAAAAAAAGAAGUUCUUGGGAAAAUGAAGUGAAAGAUUAGUUUAUUCUGGUACAGAUUUUGAAAUCCAUGCAGUUUUUAAUAGCAUGUGUUUUCCACAAACUCUUUGAAAACCCAUUGUCUGUAUGCUUUCCUAAGGAGAGAUUUGUUUACUCGUUUUAGGCAAGUCUUGGGAAGUUUUGGGACUGAUGAUAUCAUUUCUCUCCCGAAGUAUGGCUGACCCUCGUGGUCGCUUUUUUAACACCCUUACUUGGUGAAAUAAAGAUCUAGCAACCCCUCUAGUCCCGGUUGGGGCGCCGGAUUCUGUCCCGGUUGCCCCUCUUCCAGGCCAGCUCUCUGCUAUGGCCAGGGAGUGCAGUGGAGGAUGGCCCAGGUGCUUGGGCCCUGCACCCCAUGGGAGACCAGGAAAAGCACCUGGAUCCUGGCUCCUGCCAUCGGAUCAGCGCGGUGCGCCGGCUGCAGCGGCGGCCAUUGGAGGGUGAACCAACGGCAAAGGAAGACCUUUCUCUCUCUGUCUCUCUCUCUCACUGUCCACUCUGCCUGUCAAAAAAAAAAAAAAAAAAAAAAAGAUCUAGCAACCCCAUGACUGCCUCCCCAAGUCUUCCCGAAACUUGGCCACUUUGUGAAAUCCUCAACCUGGGGGGCCUUGGGGGUGGGGGUGGCUCCUUCUUCCAGCCCCGCCCUCCAUUUCUCCCCUGACGGUGCCACACACCUGCACCCUUUGGCGUUAACACCCUCUGCGGCACCAGUGUGUGACUGCCCCUCAGCCUCAGCCCCAGUGGUGGGCACGCCCUGUGCAAACAGGAUGAACCCUGAGCAAAGAGACGGAGGUCUCCCGCCCCCAUACCCUGUUUACAGUUGGUGCUCAAUACAUACACAGCGGACCCAAGGCCACUGAUGUAGGCAAGGCCGCCAUGGCCGUGGUCCCUGCUUUGGUUUUUCUGGCGGUCGGUGACUGUUCUCAGCUUUGGCUCCCUGUGCUGCUGCGCACAUCACCUGAAGCGCUCCGCCUGAGAGCUCGGAUUAGAGAGCGAGGAGCUGAGCUGGACUCCGCCUUCCUGGGUCAGCACGGGGCUGGGAAGCCCCCCGACACGGGCGGGGCUGCUGGCCUCCUGCGUGUCUGACCCACGCGUGUGUGGGUAGACCCCGAGAAGUACAUUUUGUCCCCGGUUCUGCAGUCUGGUCAGCCGCUCGCUUCCAAAGGUCCUAAAUCCCAAAGCCAAAAUGCAAUGAAAGAAAAAUAAGCCGCAAAGGCACGGGCGUGAUGCAGGGCUUAAUCCGGAGCCUUGGGUAAGCCCUGUUUACCUCUCAUUCUUUUCCUGUUCUGAUUUCUCCUGGCUGCUCUGGUCACGGCCCUAACCACACUACAAGGCUACCAACGCUGGCCCCGUGUACCAGGGACAGCCCUGAGCCCGAUGCCUGUGCUCCCCGGGGUGGGGGGUUGCUGUUGCUGCCACAGCCCUCCUGGGGGGAAGAGGACACGGCAUGCAGAGGCCAAAUGGCCCACGGAGGGAUGCAGAGCAAGCUGUGCUGCCCCUAGGGAUUGGGGGCCUGCAGAUUCGUCCCCUCCACGCCCAUCCCUGCAAGGAGCGACGUGUCAGCCUGACCGGGGCCCAGAUGUUUAGCCAGCUGUUAUUCUGGGUGUGUCUGUGAGGGUAUUUCUGGAUGCUUAACACAGAAAGCGCUAGAUUGCAUCAAGCACGUUGUCCUUGCAGUGGGUCCUGUCCAAUCAAUUGGCUGCCGUGAUGCAUUGUGGGAAAGGGGUGGCGUUCCUAGAGGUUGGCAGGGCCUGGAGCGUGAGAAUUCGCUUCUGUAGACUCAGCUGCCUCGGAUGGGUCUGGGGGCCACGCACAGGAACGGGGCGGAGCCUGGCAGGGCCCCACGGCAAAAGUAGGUGCUGAAUCCUAGCAGAAGCAAGCAACUUCGCGUUCCAGAGAGUGCCCAGAGCUGGAAGGCCCAGGGGAAAGUGGGAGAGGCCGGGAGAGUUGGCUCACAGGGAGGUUGGGAGGGUGAUGGCCACGGGGUCCCGGGGCCCCUGCACAGCCGGGCACACACCUGUGUCUCUGGGGCGACGGGCCUGGAGGAGGAGGGCAGGCGCUUGUGCACCGCGCCUCGUGCGCACACGCACGCACGCACCACACGCACUCCGCCUUGGGCCAGGACUCAGCGCGCACCUGGGGUGGGCGGGGCUGUGGGAGCCAUUCACCUGGGCUGGGCGGAUGCUUACAGCAGUGCCUUUCUCAGCUCUGUGGUGGUUAAAUUCAUGCAGCACCGCGCCUCUUACCGCCGGCUCCCAGGGCAGCAGCUGCCACCAGCGCUGGGAUAUCCAUGUACCGAGGCAGUGCGUUCGGUUUGGUGGUUACUUUGGGUGUUUUUGUUUGUUUUAAAACCUUGAUUCCUUAAUACAUACAAGAGUAAUUUUAAAAGUUCAUGGAAGAAUCAACUUAUCUUUUAACCUCAUUUUCCAUGAAUUUUUUGUUAAUAUUUUAAUUAUUUGAGAGGCAGAGUUAUAGAGAGAGAGACAGAGACAGAGGUCUUCCAACCUCUGGUUCACUCCCCAGGUGGCCGCAAUGGACGGAGCUGAGCCGAUCUCCAGCCAGAAGCCCGGAGCCUCCUCUGGGUCUCCCGUGUGGGUUCAGGGGCUCAUGCACUUGGGCUGUCUUCCAGUGCUUUCCCAGGCCAUAAGCAGAGAGAGCUGGAUGAGAAGAGCAGCAGCCGGCACCCAUAUGGGAUGCUGGUGCCACAGGCAGAGGCUUUGCCCACUACGGCACAGCACUGGCCUCUCCAUGAACUUUUUAAAGUACCCUCAGAGAGAGGAGCAUUCUCAACACUUGAGCAAUGUUAGCCACACAUGCUAGUCCCAUUAUUAGUGCUGGUAGCCCUAUUGCUAAAAGUCAAAAAAAUACAGGUGAAGGUAAUUCUAGCAAUAGAUUUUAUUUAACAUCUAAGAUGAUAGAUAUUUCAACAUGUAAGCCUUAUAACCGUUAUUAUUAAGCUACCUGAUUUUUUUUUUUUUUUUUUUGGACAGGCAGAGUGGACAGUGAGAGAUAGAGAGAGAGAAAGGUCUUCCUUUUGCCAUUGGUUCACCCUCCAAUGGCUGCUGCGGCCGCCGCGCUGCGGCCAGUGCACCGCGCUGAUCCGAUGGCAGGAGCCAGGUACUUCUCCUGGUCUCCCAUGCGGGUGCAGGGCCCAAGCACUUGGGCCAUCCUCCACUGCACUCCCUGGCCACAGCAGAGAGCUGGCCUGGAAGAGGGGCAACCGGGACAGAAUCCUGUGCCCCGACCGGGACUAGAACCCAGUGUGCCGGCGCCACAAAGCGGAGGAUUAGCCUAGUGAGCCACGGCGCCAGCCCUGAUUUGUUUUAAUCUUCGGAAUCUGGAUUUUAAAGUUAACACCCAUUUCACUUCAAACUCUCCACAUAUCACUGGAACCUAGAUCCAGCUGGUUGGCAGUGCAGUGGUCAAUUUGGGGUUUUGUUUGCUUAUGUUUUUAGGUGUAUUUAUUUUUAUGUAUUUGAAAUGCAAAGAGAGAGUCUUCCAUCUGCUGGUUCAGUUUCUAAAUGGCUGCAUCAGCCAGGGCUGGGUCAGUCCAAAUCCAGCAGCCAGGCGCUGCAUCCAGGUUUCCCACGUAGGUAGCAGGAGCCCAACUACUUGAGCCAUCAUCUGCUGCCUGGCAGGGUGUGCAUCAGCCUGAAACUGGAAUCCGGAGCAGAGUUGAGACUGGAUUCCAGGCACUGGCAUGUGGCCUGUGGGAACCCCUAGUGGCGGCUUAACCCACUGCACCCCAACAGCCACCCUUUAUUUUUGCUUUUUAGUAAGACCUUUUCCCAGCCAGCAGGCACGUGCCCAUUGGCACUAAAUGUUAAUAACACGCUGAUGUCUUCCCCACGGAAGAAAUUCUCCCUUGGAAAAGCACAAAACCUGGCCGGCGCCGCGGCUCACUAGGUUAAUCCUUGCCUGCGGUGCCGGCACACCGGGUUCUAGUCCCAGUCCAGAUUCUGUCCCGGCUGCUCCUCUUCCAGUCCAGCUCUCUGCUGUGGCCCAGGAGUGCAGUGGAGGAUGGCCCAAGUGCUUGGGCCCUGCACCCGCAUGGGAGACCAGGAGGAGGCACCUGGCUCCCGGCUUCGGAUCCGCAUGGUGCACCAGCCGCAGCAGCAGCCAUUUGGGGGGUGAACCAGUGGAAGGAAGACCUUUUUCUCUGUCUCUCUCUCUCUAACUCUGCCUGUCAAAAAAAAAAGCACAAAACCCAAAUGCCAGCCUUCCAAAGGUGAGGAGGAAAGCUGAGGGAAGGGCUUUCCUGUGUUUAGCCCACAAUCAAAGGCUCUGUGUAGCUGCCACCAGCCGUGAAAGGAGAGCCCCAGCUUAGGAAAGCGAGGAGUGGCGGAGGCUGGUCAGGUAUGGAGUCAGCACUCUGAGCCGCUCACGUGUCCCUUCCCACUUCUGGCUGCUUUGGCUCCAUUGUUCACCGUGUACCGUGUUUUCAUUUGGGUAAAGGAACAGUUCCCGAGGUGGGCACAGGCAGCAGCCGCGUGGUGGGCCGUCGGGAGUCAGGGCCUGCAGGCUGGAGCCGCGUGUUCCUCCCAAGCCACGGGCAGUGUCCAGCUCGGUCACAAACCCCAGCGCACCUGCAGAAACCCAACAGGGGACCGAGAAAGCACAGCAUGCAAUGGAGCAAACUCUGCCGUGCUCACGCACAGAGGCCAGGCUGUGCCAGAGAGAGCGAGGAGGGUUCCAGAAGACGGCAAUCUUGGGUGACAGGUGCAGUCCCAAGGGCAGUGUCGGCCCAGGGCUGGACAGACAGUAGCUGGGCAGGCGUCCUGGCCACAGUGUCUUCUGGCAGCCCCUGUGCUGGUUCUCAUUGUUGGUAUGCUGGCGUGGGACGCCCUGCUGGUUGUCUCCAGACUCGAGGUGGUGUUUUAGUUGGCUGAUUAGGGUUUGACACAAGUGCCUCUAUUUGGAUUCUGACGACUCCCGGAGCAGCAGCACCUGUCCAUUCUUCUAGCAGUGGAAGUUGACCACAUGGCCCUGCAAGGGCUCAUAUUGUACGGGGCCCAGGGCCUGCCUCGUGCCCUUGGUCCAGCCUCCUCCAACUGGGCUGCAGUGUCUGUUUAGUGACCUGCCCUGGCUCGCACUUCCUCCAUCUUGCACCCUGCUUCGCCAGGAGGCGGUGUGGAAAGGGGAGAUGGCGUGCGCCCCUGGAGGCGGAGAGCAGAGGCCAGCUGUGGAAGGAAGGAGGGCCCCCCCCCCCCGCCCAGCACGAUGGAGCACGCAGGAUGCUGCCCUGUGUGUCCACGCCUGUGCUCAGCCCUGGAUCCCUCUGCCUCGCCCUGUUCUUCUCUGUGUCUUCCUCCUUCACCCCUGGGAACCUAUUCCCCAAGCCUGGCUUUAGAGGUGCGUGUAGGCUCCCAGGUACUCAGCCUCCUUUUCUGACCCCCAAAAUGCAUACUGGGACUUCAAGAAGUUCAUGGGAAGGAAGAAUGCGAAGGUCAGCUUACGUGGGCACAACAGGGACGUGGAGAUGCCUGGGAGGCUGGCCGGGACGUACGCUUCCCAGGGGCUUUUGAAGACCCCUCGUGCAGAGGGCUCUGCUGCCUGCAGACACUGCGUUACUAACACCUGUGGGGAGAGGCCGGGUCGCAGGGAGCACAGCUGGGGCCUAUUUGCAAAGCUUCCAGAAUCUGGCAAGUUCUCCUGGUUCCUAAUUUCUAUCUGGGAAGACAGAUGGGAAGUUGACGGGACCUAGGGACAGGUUUUUGGCUUUUUUAUUUAUUUAUUUUUUGAUACACAGAGUUAGACAGUGAGAGAGAGACAGAAAGAAAGGUCUUCCUUCCAUUGGUUCACCCCCCAAAUGGCCGCUAUGGCUGGCGCUGCGCCGAUCUGAAGCCAGGAGCCAGGUGCUUCCUCCUGGUCUCCCAUGCGGGUGCAGGGCCAAGUACUUGGGCCAUCCUCUACUGCACUCCCUGGCCACAGCAGAGAGCUGGCCUGGAAGAGGGGCAACCGGGACAGAAUCCGGCACCCUAACCAGGACUAGAACCCCGGGGUGCCGGCGCUACAGGCGGAGGAUUAGCCUAGUGAGCCAUGGUGCCGGCAGGGAUAGGUUUUUGAAAAUACUGUCUCAUAGUACAGGAAAGUACAGAAGUGGUAACUCACUGGCCCUACCAUCAACCCUGCCAAACCCUAACAUGUUUCCAUGUUUGAUUCAUUUUUUAAAAUUUUACAGGUAGAGUCAUAGACAGUGAGAGAGAAAGAGACAGAGAAAAGGUCUUCCUUCUGUUGGUUCACCCCCCAAAUGGCCGCUAUGGCCGACGCUGUGCCCAUCUGAAGCCAGGAGCCAGGUGCUUCCUCCUGGUCUCCCAUGCAGGUGCAGGGCCCAAGCACUUGGGCCAUCCUCCACUGCCUUCCUGGGCCACAGCAGAGAGCUGGACUGGAAGAGGGGCAACCAGGACUAGAACCUAGCACCCAUAUGGGAUGCUGGCGCCGCAGGUGGAGGAUUAACCAAGUGAGCCGCAGCACCGGCCCCAAUUCGUAUGUUUUAUAGAUUGAUUUUUUUUUAACACAAAGGGAAAGGAAUGAAGUUGCUAGUAUUAUCAUUAUCUUACUUGGAGGAGAGAGACAGAGGCAAAAAGAGGGAGAGGGAGAGAGAGAGAGAGCUCUCGUCUGGUUCACUUGAGCUGGUUUAGGCCAAAGCCGGGAGCUGGAAACUCAAUCUACAUCUUUUUUUUUUUUUUUUUUAAGAUUUAGUUAUUUAUAUGAAAGUCAGAGUUACACAGAGAGAGAAGGAGAGGCAGAGAGAGAGAAGUCUUCCACCCACUGGUUCACUCCCCAAUUGGCUGCAACGGCCAGAGCUGCGCUGAUCCGAAUGCAGGAGCCAGGAGCUUCUUCCAGAUCUCCCAUGUGGGUUCAGGGGCCCAUGCACUUGGGCCAUCCUCUACUGCUUUCCCAGGCCACAGCAGAGAGCAGAAUUGGAAGUGGAGCAGCCAGGACUUGAACCGGUGCCCAUAUGGGAUGCCGGCACUGCAGGCAGUGGCUUUACCGGCUACGUCACAGUGCCCACCCCUCAAUCUACAUCUUAUGUGUGGGAGGCAAGAACCCAGCUACUUGAACCAUCAUUGCUAUCUCCCAGGGUUUGCAUUAGCAGGAAGCUGGCAUCGGGAGCCAGGGCUGGGAAUCUGAUGUAGGACACGGGUAUCUUAAGCAGCAUCUUAACUGCUGGGCUAAAUGCCCACUCCACAUUUACUUUUAAGAAAUGAAAAAUUACAGGGAUACACACACACACACACACAGCAAUGGGCCCUCAGAACCGGCUUGCUGUAGUCUGGAAGGUUCCCCGUUCUGCGCAAGGUGUUGAGACCCCUGGAUGUGGGGCUCCUUAGAACGGAAGAUGUAAAAAGAUAUCACAGGCCGGCGCUGCGGCUCACUAGGCUAAUCCUCCGCCUUGCGGCGCUGGCACACCGGGUUCUAGUCCCAGUUGGGGCACAGGAUUCUGUCCCGGUUGCCCCUCUUCCAGGCCAGCUCUCUGCUGUGGCCAGGGAGUGCAGUGGAGGAUGGCCCAAGUGCUUGGGCCCUGCACCCACAUGGGAGACCAGGGGAAGUACCUGGCUCCUGCCAUCGGAUCAGCGCGGUGCGCCGGCCGCAGCAGCCAUUGGAGGGUGAACCAACGGCAAAGGAAGACCUUUCUCUCUGUCUCUCUCUCUCUCACUGUCCACUCUGCCUGUUAAAAAAAAAAAAAAAGGACAUCACAGCCACUCACUUUUAUUCUUAGACUUGGGUCCAUCCUUUGCACUCUUUGCUGCUCCUCAAUAAAACACAUGAGUGUAACCUUCACCAAGGUGCGCGCUCAUCCACAUCAGGCUCAGACAUACCCAGGUGUCCUGGUGUCCGGUAGGCAUCCUCCUCCUGCUAUUUCCGGCUGCUCCCAACUUUGUCCUUGCGUUGUGAGACUGCAUCUCGGCUUACAGACCCAUCCUCUUUCUGUGAACAUGUAGCUUCUCUUCAUUUCCUGUGCUAAACAAAGCUGCAGUCAUUAACAAUGUUGCCCAGCGCUGGGCCUGGGGAGACACUUCCUCUCAGUCAUUGAUCUGAUGUGCCUGCAGGGGGCGUGGUUGUGGUUUUAGUUUGCAUUCCUCUGCUUGCCCUGGGGGUCUUUCCAGAGGCCAUUGAUGGUUCUUUGUGCCCAUGGUGUGCAGAGGGUCUACCAAUCAUGUGCCUGUUCCCAGGGGAGCCCUUGAGUAAGAGGGAGAGGCUGAAAAACUGGCUGAAGGUGAAGCAAAGGUCCUGGGGAAGCAGGAGGUGGGACCAGGAAGACAGGAGAAGCACUCCUGGGUGGGAGAGGGGAUGCGGGAGGGGAGGGGAGCUUUCACCUGCUGAUUCACUCCCCAGAGGCCACAGCAGCCAGGACUGGGCCAGGCCAAAGCAAGGAGCAUCAUCCAGGUCUCCCACAUGGGGGCAAGGACUCAAGCACUUGGGCCAUCUGCUGCUGCUUUCCCAGGCCAUCAGUAGGGAGCUGGAUGGGAAAUGGAGCAGCCAGGACACGAACCGCUGUCCAUCAGUGAUGCCAGUGUUGCAGACAAUGAUUUAACCCACUCCGUGACAACACUGGGCCCACAGGUGUAAAAUUUUUUGCCAAAAUAAAACUUCUUUUAAUUCCAUUUUUCUGCGAUUUUUUGGAAGUGGUCCCCUGUGUCCCUGAGCCUGGCUCUAUGCUGCCUGUCUCCAAACAGGUGUGCUAAGGGAAGAAAAGCUCAGUGUAGACUUGUGAGGUCGAAGAAGGAGAGGCCCCGGAUGGGGACACGCAGAGGUGCUGCAGGAUGAAGGGUUAGGUCUUGGCCCAGACAGGGCAGUCAGUUCAGCCCAGGAUCGCUCUCGCCUUCUCUGCUUCCUAGCUCUCCCAGAACUGCAGGGAAGUGAGCCUGACCCUUCCCCACAGGGAGGAGGCCAGGGAGUUGGAGUUGCCCCUCAGACAUUCUUCUCCAAGUCACGUGACCACUGUUAUUGUCCAGACUGAGAAUUUGUUGCCAUGAAGCCGGGACAAGAGGUGUCAUCUGAGAUGGCCCCAGCAGUCACCCAGUCACCUUGUCACUGAGUGCCUGGGCAAACGGAGCGGAUGCAACCACAGUCUCACACGGCCUCUCCUGAGACAGUGUGUGCACGAGGGAUUUGGGGGUGUGGGGGUGGAGCUUGUUGGUAGAAGUGGUCCAAGCAAGCAGGACAUUGCUGGUGAGAAAAUCUUGAGAGACCCUGGGCUGAGGGCAGCAGGGGGAGCCGAUGGCACCUCGCCUGCCCAGACACAGUCCCUGCAUACCUGCAGUCUGUUUUUUUGUUUUUGUUUUUGUUUUUGUUUUUGUUUUUGACAGAGUUAGAGAGAGAGAGACAGAGAGAAAGGUCUUCCUUCCGUUGGUUCACUCCCCAAAUGGCUGCUAUGGCCGGUGCACUGCAUGGAUCCGAAGCCAGGAGCCAGGUGCUUCCUCCUGGUCUCCCAUGCAGGUGCAGGGCCCAAGGACUUGGGCCAUCUUCUACUGCACUCGCAGGCCACAGCAGAGAGCUGGACUGGAAGAGGAGCAACCGGGAGAAUCUAGCAACCCAACCGGGACUAGAACUUGGAGUACCAGCGCCGCAGGCAGAGGAUUAGCCUAGUGAGACACAGCUCCGGCCAACCUCUCGAUUUUGCAGUUAGCAAAAGGCCGAAAACAGAGGGCUGAGCAGAUCUAUGUGUGGGUGGCAGAGAAGGUUAUGCCCUUUGUAUAUUAUCAGGGAACUGCAAAGUGAGACAGUGAUGAGUUACACCUUUUAUCCCCAUGUGGCUAUCGGGAUGGCCAGCGUCAGAACACAGACACCACCAAGUGCUGGCGAGGGUAUGGAGCAACAGGCUCGCUCACUUGCUGCGGUGAGAAUAUAAGCUGUAAAGACCAGUUUGGUGGUUUCUGUUAAAGCUGGACCAACCCCUCCUGUCCAGUCUGGCACUUGCACUCCUUGAUAGUUAGCCAAAGGAACUGAAAAAACACGUCCACACAAAACCCUGCACGUAGGUGUUCAUAGCAGCUUUGUUCAAAAUUGCAAAAACUUGGAAGCAACCAAGGUGUUUUUAGUAGGUGAAUGGAUUAAUAAACUGUGGUACAUCCAGACAACGGAGUAGUAUUUGGUGCUAAGAAGAAAUGAGCUAUCAAGUAGUGAAAAGACACGGAGGAAUUGUCAAUGCAUAUUGCCAAGUGGAAGAAGCCAAUUGGAAGAGGAGAGUGCAUGAGUCCAGUGAUGGGACCUGCUGUGGAAAGGUAAAACUAGGGAGAUGUUAUGCAUCAGUGGUUGGCCAGUGCUAGGGGCAACCUGGGAGGAGGGGAAGGUUAGGGCAGUGGAACUUCUCUGAGAGGUACUGUAAUGGGCGAUGCAUUCAUUCAUGGCAUUAUUGAUUUGUCUGAACCCAUAGAAUGUCUACCAGCAUCCUAGUGCCUUUGGCGAGGAGAACGAGUUGGCAUAGGUCCAUCAGUUGCAAUGAAUGCACCGGUCUCGUGAGUAAUGUUGAUCAUGGCAGUGGGGUGUUCAGGGGCGGGAGAGAGUGAGAAAUCUCUGUACUUUCCCCUCGAGUUUGCUGGAACUUAAGUCUGUGCUGAAAACCAAAGUCUACUUAAAGUGUAUACAAAAAAAAAAGGUGGCCUCAGCCCUAAACUUUCCCUUGAGAAGGGACUUUCUCAUCGGUAAAAUGGAUACACACUUGGGGUCACUGUUUGAGUAAUGCAGACUAGAAAACCCAAAGACGACCAAAAUCACUAGAAUAACUCGGACAAAAAAUAGCCUGGGGUUGUUUUUCUUCUUUUUGCCAAGGGAGUCUUGGUGGGUUUGUGGUGUGUCCUGUGUCCUGAUGCACACCCACAACUCUCAGUUCCCCUUUCUCCUUCUCGCCAGGGGGCCACCUGCUCCAGGUGCCUGAGGAGUACCCUGGGGCCCGAAGCCCUCUCUCCUUGCUCUGUGUCUGCAUCAAGUCCCCUCCAAGGGGAUGAAAAAGAACCUUGUUGAGAAAGUUCUCUGUGUCCCCGAGGGGCACUCAUUCCAAGAUGCUAGGGCCGCUGGGCACGUGGGCAGCUGGAGGGGGAUGGAGAGGGGGAGUUUGCCCUCUGCACCCCAGGCUGUGUCUGCUAUGGGCUCAGUGCCGGCAGCCAUGAAGGACAGCAGGGCCAGAGGUUCACCGCCACUUUGCCUGCUGCUAAAGCCAAGGAGGGGCAAAGGCCAGCAGAGGGCAGAACCCUGCAGACACCUCAGUGAUGCCCAGGGCCCACCCUCCUGCUCAUUUCAGCCCCAUGGUCAAGGCCACAUGCUCUGGGUACCAAGCCCUGCCCAGGACCACGCUGUGGUGUGACUGACAGGCCACAGGAGUCUGGACUUCUCUCUGGGGCACCUGCAUCUGCUUACCUAGGCCAUCCCAUGAAUCUGCUUUGCCUCUGAAGGGAGAAUUGACUAGUGUUGGUGUGAGAUGAGAAAACAGCCAAGGAAGGUGGUGAGCUAACUCAGCGAUUUGCAAGCUUGAGGCGCUACUGCUGGUGAUGAUGAAAAAAGGAGAGAUUUGUCUGUUUUGUGCUGCACCCAGGCUUGCAGGAGGCAGAGAGAGACGAGGCUUGGCCUGGUGCCAAGCGUGGAGCCCCGGUCCCCAAGACUCUGUUCUCUUCAUGAGAGCUUAGAAUGGAGGCAUUGGCUGGCAGGCUCAAGGUAAGGUGAGAAAGAGAAGCAAUUCAUGGGUCUUGUGUCUAAGGCUGAGGAGGGACUGGAGCUGACCUCUUCCCACCCCAAACUCACAUACCCUCCUGUUCACACACACACACACACGCCUACACUCACAUUCAUUCACACAUCCUCACACACUCCAGUUCACACAUCACACACACAAACCAUUCACACCCUGAGAUACACAUCAAACCCACAGACACACUCCCUUUUACACAUUGACUCACAGACCGCAUACAUACUCCCACUCCCAAGCUCACACACCACCAUCGCCCGCUUCUGUUCACACACAGCGACUCACCUGCACAGUUACAUGGACACACACACAGGCACAUGCUCAGUCACACCUAUUCUCUCUCUCUCUCUCUCUCACACACACACACACAUACACACACCACAUACUUCAAAUUUCCUGGUUGCAGAAAAAAAAAAAAAAGUUACCUCAGUGUCUUGAUCUCAGGGGCCUUGGGCUGUAUCCCGAGUUGAUGCCUUGAGAGAGUCAAUUCUCUACCUCCUGUGCUCUCUGGCUAUGGAGAGAAGACUAAGCUGUGAGAAGAGUUGGUGCGUGAGUUGAAAUUCUGCUAAGACACUGACACUCCAGUCAGCACUGGUAGAAAGAGAGCUUGGAAGUUGCUUCAGAGUCGGCUGAAUGUGUGUGAAGAUGUGUGUGUGCGUUCUCUUAUCUGGUAAAUAAUUAUGAUACGCAGUGGUGUGCUGGAAGGGGAAGCCUCAUGGAGCCAUAUAUUCCAUGACGUGACAAAGCACCUGCCACACUGCGGCUGACACUCAGGGUACUCCUCAUGUGCAGUCAGGGCUAAGAGCGCCUGAGUUCCCAAACUUGGCUGCACAUUAGAAUGAAAAAAAUCCCCAUAGCCAACCAAGCACUUGACCAAGAGCUUGUCCUCGAAUGUUGUCCUCCAGCAGCAGGAGCCAGGCUUCCUUGCACAAAUGCUGGACUCUAGGACUGGAGCAGGACAGAUACGAGGUAAGCCUGGGGCACCCUGUAUUCCCAGAGAAGAAGGAUGUAUUCCACAAACUCAAGAUAGGGGCCAACUGAAAGAGCUCCCACUGGCCCGAACUGGGACAGUCUGAGCAAUGGCCAAAGUCCUGGCCUGGAACCCGGUGCAUAAAAUAAAUAUCCGUGUGUCCACACUGAUGUAAAUAAAUGAUUGGGUAAGCAAAUAAAUGGGAGAGACUCAUAAAAAUUUCCUCUAUAGAACUGUUAUGGUCUGAAUGUGUGUCUCCACAACUCAGAGGUUUAGUUUCCAAAUGCAGGGGGUAGGGAAGUACUGAUCUGCAGGCCCUAAAGUCUUGUGAAAUUAUUUGGUCUGGCAGCUACGGGUGGGGCUCAAAAUUCAAUAAGUCUGUAGCAGGCUAGUUUGUUUUUUAAAGAUUUAUUCUUUGUAAAGUGGAGUUAGUUAUUAAUUGACUCCAUCCUUUGGUUCACUGCCUAAACCAUCACAAUGGCUGAUGCUGGGCCAGGCUGAAGCCAGAAGCCUGGAAUAGCACCCUGGUCUCCUGCAUGGGUGGCAGGGGCCCAAGCCCUUGGGCCAUCGGCUGCUGCCUUCCCAGGUGCAUUAGCAGGGAGCUGGACUGGAAGCAAAGCAGCCGGGAUGCCAGCCUGUGCUCAUAUGGGAUGCCAGUAUAGCAGGCAGCAGCUUAGCCUGUUGGUACCACCAUGCUGGCCCCCGAAGGCUAAUUCUUAAGUCAAUAAUUUCCUAUGGCUCAUGAAUGAUGUUGUAAAUCUCCAAAGGGCCCUUGGCAGAAAAAAAGAUUCCCCACCCUGUGUUAAUGGUACUGAGACGGGAAGCUUCAUCCAAUUACGUGUUUAGAGAUGGGCCCUUUUGGGUCAUGAAUAGUUUGGAUUGGGUCAUUAGGUUGGAGCCCCAUGAUUGAAUCCUGUUGGCUCUGUUAGAGACCACACAAAUGAGGAAAAAAAAAAAAAAGCAGUCUCUGUGUCUUGUCACAUGGUGCUCUGUGCUGUCAGCAAGAAUGACAUCGCUAAACACCAAACCAAUGGGACCCACCCAGUCUUGGCCUGUGAACCUCCACAACCGUGAGCCUUGAACCUCUUUGUCUUAUAGUAGUAGACUGCUUCUGGUAGUUUGCUAUAGUAAUGAAAAGCUGACUAAUAGAGAAAACAUUUACGUAGACACUCCUCCCUCAAGGAGGUGGAUCACAACUCUCAUCCCUCAGGCAUGGGCUGUGUUUUGUGACUUUCAGAGGGUCUACUGCGAGAAGGGGAAGAAGGAGCCACUUGACAGUGGGGAAAACUGAGCAGCCAACCGCAGUCAGGUGAUCAAGGCCAGCAUCAGCAGUGAUGUCAAGCGAUAGACCUGCCCUUGGGAUAUCCCCUCCCCCAGUUCCAUAGCCUCAGGACAACCAUGAGAAAAACAUCAAUUUUUACCAACCGCAAAUGAAGGACAGUCUACAAAACACCUGCCCAGGACUCCUCAAAACCAAGGUCAUCAAAAACAAGGAACGUCUGAGAAACUGUUGCAGCCAAGAGGAGCCUCAGAAGCCAUGACGGGUAAAUGUCAUGUGGGAUCCCGGGACAGGCCAGGGCUACCAGGCGUGGGACAUCUGACUGAGGAGUGAGCCUUUGCCGGUGAUGACGCAUCAGUGUUGGUUCAGUAGUUGGGAAGAAGCGACCAUGGUGAUGUAAGAUGUAGCGCUGGGGUGAGGAGAAUGUGAACACCUGUGACUGUGUCGACUUUCCCAUACAGCUACAAAUAUUUUAAAACCAAAGGCUUAGGGCUGGCGCCAUGGUGUACUGGGUUAAUCCUCCGCCUGUGGUGCCAGCAUCCCAUAUGGGCGCUGGUUCUAGUCCCGGUUGCCCCUCUUCCAGGCCAGCUCUCUGCUGUGGCUCGGGAGGGCAGUGGAAGAUGGCCCAAGUGCUUGGGCCCUGCACCCCAUGGGAGACCAGGAGGAAGCACCUGGUUCCUGGCUUCGGAUUGGCGCAGCUCUGGCUGUUGUGGCCAUUUGGGGAGUGAGCCAACGGAGGGAGGACCUUACUCUCUCUCUCUCUCUCUCUCUCUCUCUCUCACUGUCUGUAAUUUUACCUGUCAAAUAAAUAAAUAAAAUCUUAAAAGGCUAAUUUUUUCAGAAUAUCAUAGUUCCCUGCCCACCCACGCCUGUGAUGUUAGAAUGGAAGAUGGGGUGGAAGCCGGGCACCAGGACUUUGUAAAGCUCCUGGACAACUCGGAUGGGCGGCCCCGGUGACUGCCUUCAGACCAGCUCAUGCCACUGUCACACGGCUCCGAAGUCCAGAGGCUCAGAACACAGGCUUCCCCGUUCCUCCAGCCACCCAGCUACUCCGGGUUUCAAGGGAGCACUGUCCGUCUAAGGGACUCAGGCUGGUAAGGCAGCGGCUGUCUCUGGUUGUUGCCACUCUGGGCAUGAGGACAAAGGUCUCCUAGCAGUAACCAGCCACCUGUUCCCAUCGCACGAGAGGCAGGGAGGGUUAGGAAGUGAAAUCCUCCCAUGCCCUCAGAACAUGGAGGACAACGAUGCUUGAUGGAUGGCUCUAAUGGCUGUGACGAUAAGUGGUGAGAACUCGGAAAUUUUCUGUUUAAACUCCUGUCACAGGGCAUUGAUGGAGACCCGGUUCUGUUGCGUGCCCAGGCACCACCUCACACCUGAGUGUUGGAAUACGGGGCUCUGUCUGGUUUCCUGUGCUCACCUCUGCUUUGGCUCUCCAUCUUGGGCCAUAGAACAAGAGUAGAGAUUGAGUCUCCCUCCCAGAGACUGAGGCCUGCAGGCUGUUCCAGUCUCGCCCAGCAGGUGGUGUUCUCUCUUCCUCUCUCUCUCACUCUGCCUUUAAAAUAAAUACAUUAAUUAAAUAACAUAAAAGGAGUCUUAAAACUCUUUAGGAACCAGGAGCUCAAAAUCGUGUUCUCCAAGCCACCCGUAAUUAGGCUGGGGACUUACAAGUCACAAUCUUUGUCUGGGACAGAGUGACAUCGUCAAAGGAAGAAUCAAGGGCAGUAGUAGAAUUUGAGUCGACAAGUGUGGGUUUCCCGUUUGUUCUAUGUUGACUUAGUUCAGAAAAAUAAACCUUCCCCCCUUGAGUUCUGAGCGUCUGUAAGUUACAAAGUUAUCUAGUGAGAUGAAAUGUGGAGAACAAAACUCGAACACAUUGACCUCUCUCUGUGUCCGUUUUGCUAUUGGGCCCUGGUGAGUGAAGGGCCCUGGUCCUGCUCACGCCUGUCCAGGGAUUGCGGUACAAGACCGGGGCCUCUCAGGCCUCCUUAGAGCAAAUGAAUGAAAUGUGGGGACCCGGGACAGGGCUUUGCCACCAGGCAUGUUCUGUCCUUCUGAGUGUUUAGUGCACCUCUGCCUCCAGGUGGCACUGUGGAGCUACAAGUGGAUCAGCCUGCCCACCCCCACCCGCCCCCAAGCAGGGGGAUCACUGUCUCCCCUAGAGCCCUGGGCUGAGCUUUCCAGAAGUGAGAGGGGACGAUGGGAGGCCCAGCCUCCUGCCUUCUCCAGGCUGGGACCUCAACCAAAGCUUGGUGGUUGGGUUUUUCUCUUCUUAAAGUAAUUUGCCAUUCACACUCUUUCUAGAAUGCUUGGAUGUGGUUCAGGCCGAGCCAGCGUUUGUUUUUUCUCCUUGCUCCAGGGGAGACGCAGUGACGGCUGCAGGGCUGUUCCCUUCUGAUUCCCUUCUGCUCCAUCCCACUCUUGCCACCAAGGCAGGCUCACCGGCUGUGGAGUCCGGGCACACAACCACGCCCCAUCAGCGCAUGGCCCCAGGGAAAAGUAGCUGCACUGGGAAGCUGCAGUGCUGCUGGGAGGAGGUUCUGAGUGGGAGAAGCCGGGGGACAACCUGUGUCUACUCGGAGCAGGUGGGACCCUGUUUCAGUCCACACCCAGUCAGGAAGUGACUUUAUCUGCAAAAGGCAGAGAAUCGACCUCACUGGGUUUUCGACAGCUCAACGGCAGGUUCAGAGCUCAUCAGGAUGGCUUAGGCUAUAGUGGGAGACGCUUCAUGGCAUCGCAAACAGAGGAAGGCACUUUCCGGAGAAUUCUGGCAGGGACUAAGCCUUCUCAACAGUUGUGCCAACACCUAUGUAGGACUGUACCCACGUGGGAGACCUGGAAGAAGCUCCUGGCUCCUGGCUUCGGAUCUGCGCAGCUCCAGCCGUUGCAGCCAUCUGGGGAGUGAACCAGCGGAUGGAAGACCUCUCUCUCUGCUGCUCUCUGUAACUCUGUCUUUCAAAUAAAAAAUCUUAAAAAAACAUUCCUAACGAUUGUUUUCACAAAGGUAUAAAACAAAGUUUUACAAAACUAUGUUUGCAGCAAUGUUGAUAGACACAUUUCUGGAUGCAGAUCCAGGCCAUGAAAGCACAAAUAAUCUGGGCCAACUCAGAAUAGAUACGGUCUCUUCUCCCCACACCGUGAGAGAUGUCCUCGUGUCUAGCAGCAUGAGAAAUUGAAAACGCAUGUCGAAGUCAUUUUUCUUUUUCUUUUUUUCUUUUUUUGACAGGCAGAGUUAGAGAGAGAUGGAGAGAAAGGUCUUCCUUCCGUUGGUUCACCCCCCAUAUGGCCGCUAUGGCCAGUGCUGCACCGAUCCAAAGCCAGGAGCCAGGUGCUUCUCCUGGUCUCCCAUGUGGGUGCAGGGCCCAAGCACUUGGGCCAUCCUCCACUGCACUCCGGGGCCACAGCAGAGAGCUGGACUGGAGGAGGAGCAACCGGGACAGAACUGGUGCCCCAACCGGGACUAGAACCCGGGGUGCCAGUGCCACAGGUGGUGGAUUAGCCUACUGAGCCGUGGUGCCAGCCGGAGUCAUUUUCUGUGACCUUGUGCUAGUUCUGUGUGGUUGUGCUUCUGUUGAUGGGGCAAAAACCUGACUUUUGUCUCCUAAAUGAGCAAGGAGCAGCUUUUCCUUCACAGUUGGGGACCACCAAGGCUCACUGGGUGCUGGCUCCUGGGGGCUCCCUGGAGAAUCUUGCAGAGUUGGUCUCGGGCCCCUCCACCUAGAAGGGGAUGCAGGGAUGCAUUGAUACCUCCCAGCCUGUGCUUCUGGAGGGGCUGACUCUCCUGUACUUCCAGGUGACGUACGUGAGAUGGUUCUAGCAGGCGUCUCACACUUCAGCAUCAGGGAGAGACGUCUUGAGGCAGCUGUGGGGGAAUCCGGGGUGUCUGUGUGGAGCUGGCUGCACCCUGCACAGCUUUGUUCCAUGACAGUGGUAGGAUAGGGAGUGAGGCACGGGCCGUGUGGAGAAUGCUGCAUGGUCAGACCGCAGCCUUAUGAGUAUAUGGUGGCCAGUGCACCCAGUAGACCUGGCUACAGACACCCUGAGCCCACUCUAGAUAAAUUGCACAUGGAAAAGUAAUGGCCAUCAGGCUCUUGCGAAGGAAGUCAACAGAAAGAACAAUCGCAUUGACUAAAGUAGUGUUUUAACAGUUCGUCUGGAAUACCGGAGCUUGAGGAAGGCAGGUGUCACUGGAGGAUUCAAAGGACGUAGUUACAGCCAUCACUGAGAUGGAAAGACAUUCCGGGAACAUCCCAGAGCUGCCGAAAGGGAGCAGAGCGGAGUGUCGUGUGGCCAUUGUCCUUAGUGCACGUACGUCACCAGCACCUCCGUUACAUGGUGCACCCCUACUUUCCGUGGUUGGUUGGCUCCCAAAUGGAAGGGAAAGAGGGUUAGGAAAUGAACUGAGAUUUUUCUUGCAGAAAAUUCCUACGAGUGGCAAGAGAACGAGAGGCAGCAAGAGAUGAGUGAGAACUCAGCUGGGAGUGUCCACGGUGGAAUCCACUAAUUCUGUAUACUUAUUUCCUGUAUUCUUAAAGACAAAGGGGCGGUGGGGAGGAGCACUGGGGACCGGAAGGGCAGCACGUGGAGCACGGAGGAUGCAGCCCUCAGUGCUUAGCACCAGGGGGCGCUGUGGACCCGGGAGAGCGCGGUUGCUGCGGGGAGGGCAAGCAGUCCAGCUGGGACCAGCGCAGUCACUGCUCACCGGGAUGAAAACUUGUGUCUUACAGCAACAGUGCAGGGCGCGUGAAUUCCAGCGGCCAGCUUGCACGUUUAGGGGUGCGAUGCUGAUCAUGUCCCUGCAGUGGAGGGAGCGCUUGGGUUCUUCUGCGGAGUCGGGACUGUCUCUCUGGGAGGGUUCCCGCUGGUCAGGGUUAGAGGAACCGCUCGGAGGCGAGCAGUAAUGGAAGCCGAUGCACACUCCUUAAGAUUUUCUAGCAUGCCACUGGAUCUCACAGGCGGAUUUAUGAAACUGCGGUAUGUAUUGCACACUACCCGUGUUUUAGUAAACCCGAUGAUAUUGCAAGUGAGAGGGAGAGAGGGAGAGAGAGAUGGCAGGAGUCUGAAGUGUAAGUUGGGGCUGAGCCCCCUGGGUCACCAGGAGUGGGACCCGGCCAUCUCAUAAGGGCCUGCAGCUUUGGCAGUGCCUUCACUCCUAUACCCACAGGGAGUCCCUCGCCUCUUCUGAUGCCAAGAAUGGUGCUGGCCCCUCUUCCCGCCUGAGCGGUGUUGAUAAUGGGCCAGAGACAGAGGCCCCCAAUCUUAUCAGAGGUGGAAGGCAGCCCAGCUCAUUAUGCAGUCUGCCACCCUCCCCUUCUCUCAGGAGCCACAUGGGCACGAAACGUGGUCUCCAGGCUCGCCCUGCCAGCUCCCAGCAAACCUGGCCUCCUGGGAAACCUGAGAAGGGUGGCUGCAAGCGGAGGCUGGGCCACGCCUCUGAUCUCCAGGAGCCUGCGAGCAGGGGGGCCGGCAGCUGGAGUAAUUCUACCCCUGCACAGCCCAGGUUGUGUUCUUUUUCCUGGACAAGAUUUAUAGGGUAGGGCUUAGUCUAACUGCAGACAGACAGUCCUGGGGGGCCCUGCUCGCCGGUGUUCCCAGCCGUUCCGUUCCCCGCGGAGCCGCUUCACAUGACUUGAUGGAUUGUGCUGGCCUUCGUCGGCGACAGAGCGGGGCACGGACACCACCCCAGAGUGUGCACUUUUAGGGGCGCUGUCUGCCCUGGGGCUCUGCAGAACAGUCGGCUUGGGACUUGGAUUCAGAACCAAAUGGGAGUUGAGUCCUGGCCACCUCCCUUCCUGGCUGUGUGACCGUGGGCAGAUUUCUCAACCUCCUUGUGUGUCAGUGUCCCUAUCUGUCAAAUAAAGACACUCACAGCCUCAUCAUGUUGUUGUGAGACAGGAGGGGACUUCGAAAGCUCAUGGGAAAAGACAAGCAAAAGAUACAUUUAUUUUUUGUGGUACAAGAAAUUUGAAAUUCAUGCAUUGCUCUUUUAAAAAAAAUAUUUAUUUGAAAGGCAAAGUUACAGACAGGCAGAGGCAGAGAGAGAGAGAGACAGAGAGAGAGAGAGAGAGAGAGAUGUUUUCUAUCUGAUGGUUCACUACCCAAAUGGCCACAAUGGCGGGAGCUGGGCUGAUCCAAAGCCAGGAGCCAGGAGCUUCUUCCAGGUCUUCCACACGGGUGCAGGGACCCAAGGAUUUGGGCCAUCUUCUACUGCUUUCCCAGACCAUAACAGAGAGCUGGAUCGGAAGUAGAGCAGCCGGGACUCGAACCUGCGCUCAUGUGGGAUGCUGGCACUGCAGGCACGUCUUUACCCGCUACUCCACAGCUCCGGCCCCUGCAUAAUUUUUUUAGUAUGCAUUUGUCAUGGCCUUUUGGAAGUCCCCUCAUAAUGAACAUUAAGCACAGCCCCUGGCAAAGAGAGAGAAUAAUAAAUGGGAGCCAUUAGUGUGAGGUCGUUCAGUGAAUUCACCUCCAGCCCAGAGCCAAUGGCUCUCUCCUGUUUGAUACAGGUCAUUAGUGUUAAGUGGACAGUGUCACCAGACAGAGGGCUGUCACCCAAAACCAGUGGGGGAUGGAAGAGACGCCACUCAAUGCUGGGUCCAAAUCGGCCCAUGCUGGACAGCUGGGAUGGAUGCUGGGUACAGAGACAUCUCAUACAGGCUGCUCACGCGUGCCGUGGGGGUGGCUGUACGCCUUCUCCAAGCAGGGCUGUAAGAACAUGCCUGGACUGUACUGGAUGCCCUUUGGCUUACCCAGCGGUGUCAGCUCCCAGAUGGCUGGGCCUUGCUGCAGAUCCGAGUGGUCAUCUGCUGCUCCCCCCUGGGAGAAGCCACAGCCCCGACUGUCUGCAACUGGCUUUGCUGAGCCGCAGAGGCCGCAGCCCGGGUAUAGAGGAUUCUUAAGGUGGCUGAGAGUUUCUGAGAAGACAAAGCAGAAUAAACACUCGUCCCCGUGGGCCACGGUGGAGUGACCUUUAUAAUUUUCAGCUAUUUCUCAGGAUUGCUUUCUGUAGAGCCUUUGUUUUAUUCCAUUAGAUUUUGAAGUUGCUAGGAGGAUGCCUACAGUCUAUUGAUUCGUAACUUGGUGCCCCAGGAUGGAGUGAGAGCAGCCCUGCCCCUGACUCUAGGUCUGCAAGCCGAGUGCACUGUAUAGGAGGAGCCCCGUUUCUACACAGAUGUCCCGACACAGGGCCUGGGCCGUUGGAAGGAUGGUUCCAAUGUCCUCGGCGUUGGCUCCAGCCGUUUCUUCAAUGAGUGUGUAUUUGCUGUGUGCACAGCUGGAUCCGGGAGGCUCUGCCCUCAAGGUUCUCAUUCAAGUCUAGAUUCUGGCUGGCUUCCACUCCCCAGGCGCUGUCUCCCUGCAGCUUGUCCUGGGGGUGCAGCCUAGGGAAGCAGGCCACAUGCACUGCGCGCACCUUGGUGGAAGAGGAUACGCGACAUCUGGCAACCUUCCUCUCUGCUCAGCCUGUCACCCAGCCUCCCGCCUGCGGGGUCCCGGAGAGCUUUGCCUUCCCACAGCUGAAUUCACUCCAUCGCAGAUUCUUCUUUGCCUAAAUCUGAUUGGGACAGUCAGGAUGUCGGAGCAAAUGUUGUGAUCUGAGUCAACAGCGAUAAACCGGAAACGACAGUCUCUCUAUUACAGCCUUCCCCUCUGGCCCAAGUGUAAGGUCACCACCAACCUGCACCUUCCAGGGCCUCAGAGAACACGUAAGAAACUGGCUUCUCGAGCUUGCCCCGAGGCACCGGAAAUGAGGUGGCGCAUGCGCACAUACAGCGACCACGUCCCCGGGAUAGGGAAGUAGCCUGCUGUACUCUGCGGCUGGCGCCGACUUAUUCUGGCCUGUAGGAUUCCUCACCAUCCAGAGUGGUGGGAAGACCAAGUCAGUUGCAUGAAUGAAUGCAUGGCUGAAUGACUGAAUGACAGGAGCAAUGCCCCUGUGUGCCAUGUCAGUGCUACACAAAGCAAAUUAAGUGCACAGCCUCACCUUUGUGUUCACCUCCUGACUGCCUGUUAGGUGUUGGCUGCCGCGGGGAGAGAAACAAAAAGGAAGCCAUGCUUCUACCUUGACCCAGCAAAGCGUGUGUCAGAUUACAGAAAAAUCAGAAUGUCUGGAGAUAAGGGUGCGGAGUUUUAUCGAGUCAUCAGAGUAAACCGAGUUUUGCAGAAUUGCCACAAAGCUGUGAAUGUCCUCACGGCCCUCGUUCAGAAUGCGUUCAGCGAACAAAGAAAUCUUGGUUUGAUUCCAUUUGUUUUAAAGAUUGUGCUCUACAGAUGCAUUUUUUAAGCAUAAUAUAAAAAUAUAAAAAUGGCUAAGUGAAUACGUUAAACCUUUUUUUUUCAGAUACAUAGAUUUUUCCCCCAACUGGUAAUUUUGCAGAGGUAGAAAGUUACGAGUAUGCACCAAAUUAUUGUCUAAUCCUUGGGACCUUCUGUUUAGAGUUCCAGACGUGCGUAGAGUGGGAACUGCUUGGUUUUCUGUGCUUAUUUGCAGUCUGUUGGUACACACACACACCUCCUCCAGGACACAAAGGGUCCUCUCCAUAGGUGGUUCUUAGAAAGUGUCCCGAGAAGCGAGGGAGAGGUCCCAGGUGCCCCAGGGCCCCGUGGCCCCGUUUUGGGGCAAAAGCACCCAGCUCUGCCCCCUCUGCCUUCUGGGGCACGACUCACACCUGUUGAGAGCGCUCUGGCUCCUCCGUGGAACUUUACAAAUGAGCUUUCGCGCUGGUUUCCCAGGGCUCCCAGAACAAAGCAGCAUGAACCGGGCAGCUGCCUCCCUCCCACUCGCGGGGGGCUGCGGGCCGAGAUGGGGCUGUCCGUAGGUUUGGCUGCUUCCGAGGGCUGGGAGGGAAGGAUGUGUUCCAGACUUUCCUCCUUGGCUCGUGGACAGUUGUCUGGAUGGUGACACAGUGUUCUCCUAUAUGUAUGUCUUGUCCAAAUUCCUCCUUUUUAUAAGGACACCGGCUCUAUUGGACAGGGGCCCAGCCUGCUCCAGGGGCCUCUCAUCUUAACUGACUACAGCUGCAGUGACCCUGUUUCCAAACGCAGUCACACUGUGAGGUCCUGGGGGCUGGGAUUGCAACACGCGGAUUUGGGGGGAAACAUAUCACAACCUGUAACAGCUGUGAGGGCGGGAGGAAGGCCCCUCCAUCCAGCCACCCCUCCUGCUCCCCGCCCCCUCCCAAGCUGCUCCCCAGCAUUCCCCUGUGGGCGACUGAAUCCCUUUAGGCACUUGUCCCUUUGCAUUUGGAGAUGGCGUGGUGACCAGGGAUCUCCCCUGUGGAGGGGAAGUCAUACGGGGAAGAGGCAGCCAUGAGCUGUCCUCAGCCUGCCCUGCAAACUCUGCUCAGCAUGUGGGUUUGUGUGUGUGUGUGUGUGUAUG